GAUAAAUCAAGAGCGAUGGGGAGGGAAUUGGCCCGUUGAUCCAUCCAGCAACCCUGAGGCGACUCGAAGGGUGCUAAACCCAACCCGUUAAAGGGAAGGAUUUCGU
rnacentral:ncRNA from 2 species